AUGGAAGAAGCAAGAAAAGCUUACAUCGUUGUAGUUGCUGUUAGCAAAGAAAAUCAAGAUGAAGAAUUUAUUGUUGUCGCUGCUAAUGCUAGGUUACGUCUUCAAUCAGCUGCAGUGGUUACAUGGAAGACAACUAUAAUUAUGAUAAUUUUUACUGGAAGAGCAGUUGUGGUUGACUCUAAUGCUAUAGUCAAUAGCAGCUGCUUUGUGAAAAGAGCUCUUUGGGUUUUAGAUAUGUUAUCUCAUGCGGCGAAAUCAGCCGUAAAAUUGGUUCAGCAUCAAAACAAAUGA